CGAACGCGAAAGGCCCCUUCGGGGGCCGAGUUAGAGUGGCGUCCGGGUGAGUAACACGUAGGUAAUCUACCUCUGGGUGGGGAAUAACGACCGGAAACGGUCGCUAAUACCGCAUAAUGCAGCGGCACCACAUGGUGACAGUUGUUAAAGCGGGGGAUCGCAAGACCUCGCGCCUAGAGAGGAGCCUGCGGCGGAUUAGCUAGUUGGCAGGGUAACGGCCUACCAAGGCGACGAUCCGUAGCCGGCCUGAGAGGGCGGUCGGCCACACUGGCACUGACACACGGGCCAGACUCCUACGGGAGGCAGCAGUCGGGAAUUUUGGGCAAUGGGCGAAAGCCUGACCCAGCAACGCCGCGUGAAGGAUGAAGCUUUUCGGAGUGUAAACUUCAUAAGAAUGGGACGAAUAAGGAAGGGCUAAUACCCCUUUUGAUGACGGUACCAUUUGUAAGCUCCGGCUAACUCCGUGCCAGCAGCCGCGGUAAUACGGGGGGAGCAAGCGUUGUUCGGAUUUACUGGGCGUAAAGGGCGCGUAGGCGGCGCAACAAGUCACUUGUGAAAUCUCCGGGCUUAACCCGGAGCGGCCAAGUGAUACUGUCGUGCUAGAGUGCGGAAGGGGCUACUGGAACUCUCGGUGUAGCGGUGAAACGCGUAGAUAUCGAGAGGAACACCUGCGGCGAAGGCGGGUAGCUGGGCCGACACUGACGCUGAGGCGCGAAAGCCAGGGGAGCGAACGGGAUUAGAUACCCCGGUAGUCCUGGCCUUAAACGAUGGAUGCUUGGUGUCCGGGGUUACAUAGUCCCCGGGUGCCGGCGCUAACGCAUUAAGCA
rnacentral:rRNA from 1 species